rnacentral:rRNA from 1 species
CGUAGGGGGCAGCGUUAUCCGGAUUUAUUGGGCGUAAAGCGUGUGUAGGCGGUUUUAUUAAGUUUAAGAUUAAAGCCCGAGGCUUAACCUCGGUUCGUCUUAAAUACUGGUAGACUUGAGUAUGGUAGAGGCAAAUGGAAUUUCUAGUGUAGCGGUUAAAUGCGUAGAUAUUAGAAGGAACAUCAGUGGCGAAGGCGAUUUGCUGGGCCAUUACUGACGCUGAGACACGAAAGCGUGGGGAGCAAAUAGGAUUAGAUACCCUAGUAGUCCACGCUGUAAACGAUGAGUACUAAGUGUCGGGAAACCGGUGCUGAAGCUAACGCAUUAAGUACUCCGCCUGAGUAGUACGGUCGCAAGACUG